CCUACGGGAGGCAGCAGUAAGGAAUAUUGGUCAAUGGACGCAAGUCUGAACCAGCCAUGCCGCGUGGAGGAUGAAGGUCCUCUGGAUUGUAAACUUCUUUUAUUUGGGACGAAAAAGGGCCUUUCCAGGUCAACUGACGGUACCAGAUGAAUAAGCACCGGCUAACUCCGUGCCAGCAGCCGCGGUAAUACGGAGGGUGCAAGCGUUAUCCGGAUUUACUGGGUUUAAAGGGUGCGCAGGCGGAUAUGUAAGUCAGUGGUGAAAUCUUUGGGCUUAACCCGAAAAUUGCCAUUGAUACUAUAUAUCUUGAAUGCUGUGGAGGUAAGCGGAAUAUGUCAUGUAGCGGUGAAAUGCUUAGAUAUGACAUAGAACACCUAUUGCGAAGGCAGCUUACUACGCAGAUAUUGACGCUCAUGCACGAAAGCGUGGGGAUCAAACAGGAUUAGAUACCCUGGUAGUCCACGCCCUAAACGAUGAUUACUCGACAUACGCGAUACACAGUGUGUGUCUGAGCGAAAGCAUUAAGUAAUCCACCUGGGAAGUACGACCGCAAGGUUGAAACUCAAAUGAAUUGACGG
rnacentral:rRNA from 1 species